rnacentral:rRNA from 1 species
AACGAACGCUGGCGGCAUGCCUAACACAUGCAAGUCGAACGAGACCUUCGGGUCUAGUGGCGCACGGGUGCGUAACGCGUGGGAACCUGCCCUUAGGUUCGGAAUAACUCCCCGAAAGGGGUGCUAAUACCGGAUAAUGUCUUCGGACCAAAGAUUUAUCGCCUUUGGAUGGGCCCGCGUUGGAUUAGCUAGUCGGUAGGGUAAAAGCCUACCAAGGCGACGAUCCAUAGCUGGUCUGAGAGGAUGAUCAGCCACACUGGGACUGAGACACGGCCCAGACUCCUACGGGAGGCAGCAGUGGGCAAUAUUGGACAAUGGGCGAAAGCCUGAUCCAGCAAUGCCGCGUGAGUGAUGAAGGCCUUAGGGUUGUAAAGCUCUUUUACCCGGGAUGAUAAUGACAGUACCGGGAGAAUAAGCUCCGGCUAACUCCGUG